AUUGAACGCUGGCGGCAGGCCUAACACAUGCAAGUCGAGCGGCAGCGGGUCCUUCGGGAUGCCGGCGAGCGGCGGACGGGUGAGUAAUGCCUAGGAAUCUGCCUGGUAGUGGGGGAUAACGUUCGGAAACGGACGCUAAUACCGCAUACGUCCUACGGGAGAAAGUGGGGGAUCUUCGGACCUUCCGCUAUCAGAUGAGACGAGGUCGGAUUAGCUAGUUGGUGGGGUAAUGGCUCACCAAGGCGACGAUCCGUAACUGGUCUGAGAGGAUGAUCAGUCACACUGGAACUGAGACACGGUCCAGACUCCUACGGGAGGCAGCAGUGGGGAAUAUUGGACAAUGGGCGAAAGCCUGAUCCAGCCAUGCCGCGUGUGUGAAGAAGGUCUUCGGAUUGUAAAGCACUUUAAGUUGGGAGGAAGGGCAGUCAGUUAAUACCUGGUUGUUUUGACGUUACCAACAGAAUAAGCACCGGCUAACUUCGUGCCAGCAGCCGCAGUAA
rnacentral:rRNA from 1 species